UCCGCUGUGGUCCAGUGGUUAGGAUUUGUGACUCUCAAAACAGGAGUGCUCACAGGGCCCGGGUUCGAUUCCCGGCAGCGGAA